rnacentral:rRNA from 1 species
CACGUAGGGGACGAGCGUUGUCCGGAUUCAUUGGGCGUAAAGCGCGCGUAGGCGGCUCGGAAAGUCGGUCGUGAAAUGCCGGGGCUCAACCCCGGGACUGCGUCCGAUACUCUCUAGCUGGAGGCAGGUAGGGGAGAUCGGAAUUCCUGGUGUAGCGGUGAAAUGCGCAGAUAUCAGGAGGAACACCGGUGGCGAAGGCGGAUCUCUGGGCCUUGCCUGACGCUGAGGCGCGAAAGCUAGGGGAGCGAACAGG